rnacentral:rRNA from 1 species
AUUGAACGCUGGCGGAAUGCUUUACACAUGCAAGUCGAACGGUAGAGGGGGCAACCCCUUGAGAGUGGCGAACGGGUGAGUAAUAUAUCGGAACGUGCCCAGUCGUGGGGGAUAACGUAGUGAAAAUUACGCUAAUACCGCAUACGAUCUAAGGAUGAAAGCGGGGGGUCGCAGGACCUCGCGCGAUUGGAGCGGCCGAUAUCAGAUUAGGUAGUUGGUGGGGUAAAGGCCCACCAAGCCAACGAUCUGUAGCUGGUCUGAGAGGACGACCAGCCACACUGGAACUGAGACACGGUCCAGACUCCUACGGGAGGCAGCAGUGGGGAAUUUUGGACAAUGGGCGAAAGCCUGAUCCAGCCAUUCCGCGUGCAGGAUGAAGGCCCUCGGGUUGUAAACUGCUUUUGUACAGAACGAAAAGGUUUCUACUAAUACUAGGAGCUCAUGACGGUACUGUAAGAAUAAGCACCGGCUAACUACGUGCCAGCCGCCGCCGUAA